rnacentral:rRNA from 1 species
AUUGAACGCUGGCGGCAUGCCUUACACAUGCAAGUCGAACGGUAACAGGUCUUCGGAUGCUGACGAGUGGCGAACGGGUGAGUAAUACAUCGGAACGUGCCCGAGAGUGGGGGAUAACGAGGCGAAAGCUUUGCUAAUACCGCAUACGAUCUCAGGAUGAAAGCAGGGGACCGCAAGGCCUUGCGCUCACGGAGCGGCCGAUGGCAGAUUAGGUAGUUGGUGGGAUAAAAGCUUACCAAGCCGACGAUCUGUAGCUGGUCUGAGAGGACGACCAGGCACACUGGGACUGGGACACGGCCCAGACUCCUACGGGAGGCAGCAGUGGGGAAUUUUAGACAAUGGGCGCAAGCCUGAUCCAGCCAUGCCGCGUGCAGGAUGAAGGCCUUCGGGUUGUAAACUGCUUUUGUACGGAACGAAAAGACUCUGGUUAAUACCUGGGGUCCAUGACGGUACCGUAAGAAUAAGCACCGGCUAACUACGUGCCAGCCGCCGCGGUAAUAC